rnacentral:hammerhead_ribozyme from 1 species
AUCCACCUGACGAGUAAUAAAUAGAACGAAACGCGUGUCCUGGAU